GACGAACGCUGGCGGCGUGCCUAAUACAUGCAAGUCGAACGCCGUUGGGACGGGUGAGUAACACUUGGGUAACCUCCCCCUCAGAGGGGAUAACCCUUGGAAACAGGUGCUAAACCGAUACUGAUGGAUGGACCCGCGGUGCAUUAGCGAGUUGGUGAGGUAACGGCGCACCAAGGCCGCGAUGCAUAGCAGACCUGAGAGGGUGAUCGGCCACACUGGGACUGAGAAACGGCCCAGACUCCUACGGGAGGAAGCAGUAGGGAAUAGUCGGCAAUGGCCGAAAGUCGGACCGAGCAACGCCGCGUGAGUGAAGAAGGUUUUCGGAUCGUAAAACUCUGUUGUUAGAGAAGCGGUAUCUAACCAGAAAGCCACGGCUAACUACGUGCCAGCCGCCGCGGUAAUUC
rnacentral:rRNA from 1 species